rnacentral:rRNA from 1 species
GGAUAACCUGCCCUAUCGUCUGGAAUAACCUCGGGAAACUGAGAAUAAGGCCGGAUAGUUCACAAAGCCUGGAACGGUUUGUGAAUCAAGGUAGGAUGGGUCUGCGGCGUAUCAGGUAGUAGGGGGUGUAAAGGACCCCCUAGCCUUCGACGCGUACGGGUGUUGGGAGACAUAGCCCGGAGAUGGAUUCUGAGACACGAAUCCAGACCCUACGGGGUGCAGCAGGCGCGAAAACUUCACACUGCAGGAAACUGUGAUGAGGGAACUCCAAGUGUGUGCACUAUGUGUACACUUUUAUGAACUUUUAAUCGGUUCAGGAAUAAGGGCUGGGAAAGACCGGUGCCAGCCGCCGCGGUAAUACCGGCAGCUCAAGUGGUCGUCGCUUUUAUUGGGCCUAAAACGUCCGUAGCCUGUUUGGUAAAUCUGUGGGUAAAUCAACUCGCUCAACGAGUUGAAUUCUGCAGAGACUGCCAGACUAGGGACCGGGAGAGGCGUGGGGUACUCGAGGGGUAGGGGUAAAAUCCUGUCAUCCUUCGAGGACCACCAGUUGCGAAGGCGCCACACUGGAACGGAUCCGACGGUCAGGGACGAAGCCUAGGGGCACGAACCGGAUUAGAUACCCGGGUAGUCCUAGGUGUAAACGCUGUGAACUUGGUGUCGGGGGUCCGCAAGGGGUCCCCGGUGCCGGAGUGAAGAUGUUAAGUUCACUGCCUGGGGAGUACGGUCGCAAGGCUGAAACUU